UAUUAAAAUAUUCAUUUAUUUCUAAUGUUAAAAACUAGCGUGACCAACAAAAUAACCAGAUAAUUACAGGCGGCGUGCCAUGUGUAGCUCAUAUUGACGUACAAUCACUAGUUUUUAACAAUAAAAAUAGAUGAAAUUUUUAAUA
rfam:Gossypium hirsutum cultivar TM-1 chromosome 18, whole genome shotgun sequence